rnacentral:siRNA from 1 species
UCAGUACCGCCAAAUGUCCUGA